AUUGAACGCUGGCGGCGUGCCUAACACAUGCAAGUCGAGCGGUAACAGGUGUAGCAAUACAUGCUGACGAGCGGCGAACGGGUGAGUAAUGCUUCGGAAUCUACCUUAUGGUGGGGAGUAACUAGCCGAAAGGUUAGCUAAUACCGCAUACGUCCUACGGGAGAAAGCAGGGGAUCGCAAGACCUUGCGCCAAAAGAUGAGCCGAAGUCGGAUUAGCUAGUUGGUAGGGUAACGGCCUACCAAGGCGACGAUCCGUAGCUGGUCUGAGAGGACGACCAGCCACACUGGGACUGGGACACGGCCCAGACUCCUACGGGAGGCAGCAGUGGGGAAUACUGGACAAUGGGGGAAACCCUGAUCCAGCGACGCCGCGUGUGUGAAGAAGGCCUGCGGGUUGUAAAGCACUUUUAGUGGGGAUGAAAUGUGCAGGGUUAAUACCUCUGCAUUUUGACCUAACCCACAGAAAAAGCACCGGCUAACUCUGUGCCAGCCGCCGCAGUAA
rnacentral:rRNA from 1 species